UCUGUACAGAUGAUAAGUGUAAAGAGAGAUUCAGAGACAGACUGAAGCUGGAUCAUCAGACUGGAUCUCUGACCAUCACAAAAACCAGAACCACAGACUCUGGAGAUUAUAAACUACAGAUCAUCAGCAGCAGAUUCAGCAUCGUUAGGAAUUUCGGGAUCACUGCUACUAUCGAUGUGUCAGGGUUGUCUGCAGGUGCUAUAGCAGGAAUCAUUAUUGCUUGUGUUGUGCUGAAUGCUUUGUGUGGUGGUGGUGGUUUCGGUUUUGUGUUCUACCAAUAACAUAAAUGAUAAUGAUGAACUAGCCACCUGAUCCAAAUAUUAUUGCUUUGAGGAGGAGGAACUGGCUGUUUAUCUUAGUUUAUUUUGAAAGUACUGUAAAUGUUUCCUAAUUUAAGAAUGAAUAGCAUGGCUUUUGAUAUGUUGAGCUAAACCAGAACCAAAAUCAUUCUUUAAUGAGCUUGAAAAUACAUUGAUUUAUUUUGAAGUUGGUGAAACACUUUCCUGACAGUAGUCAGUGCCUUUAACUGGAUGUAUUAACAAUAAAUGCUGUGUUAAAUGUUGU